AUUAAGCGCACCCAAGCAAGCCAAAUUCUUAAGAUAUACUCAAUUAGGGUACAGCCUGAUUGAGAAAGGACACAACCUCAACCUUAGGAAAAUGACUAAAUUUUUAUAAUAAAACGACUAAGUUGGCUUAAAAGCAGCCACCUUUUAAAAAGCGUCUAAGCUUCAUCCUCCCUAACCCCAAUUCAAUUAUUUACUCAGAACCCGACACCCCUACUGGGCUUUUCUAUAAUAAUAUAGAAGUAAUUAUGUUAGAACUAGUAACACAGAAAUUUUCUCUUACAUGCACCUUUAAGUCAGGUCGAAUACGUCACUGACAGUUACCCAGUAUGAACCUAAAGUAAUAACUCCACCAGAAAAUCCUACUAAUAACCCUGUUAACCUAACACAAGCUCACGAAAGAAAGAUUACAAGGCCAGGAAGGAACUCGGCAAACACUAGUCCCGCCUGUUUACCAAAAACAUCGCCUUUUGAAUUCUAUAAAAGGUAACGCCUGCCCAGUGACUGCUCGUUAAACGGCCGCGGUACUCUGACCGUGCAAAGGUAGCGUAAUCACUUGUCUUUUAAAUAAGGACCAGUAUGAAUGGCAUCACGAGAACUAAUCUGUCUCCCCCCCCUAAUCAGUGAAACUGAUCCCCCCGUGCAGAAGCGGGGAUGACACCAUAAGACGAGAAGACCCUGUGGAGCUUCAAAUCCAAAAUCAACUACUAUACCCCACCCCAUAAGGACACACUCCCAUAGACUUGACUUAGAUUUUUAGCUGGGGCGGCUGUGGAGAAAAAACCAUCCUCCACGAAAUUCUACUCCAAGGGCUACUGCCCUAAGUAAUAAUAAAUUCAAAUUUAAUUGACCCAAUUUUUGAUCAACGGACCAAGUUACCCCAGGGAUAACAGCGCAAUCCACUUUUAGAGUCCAUAUCGACAAGUGGGCUUACGACCUCGAUGUUGGAUCAGGGCAUCCAAGUGGUGCAACCGCUACUAAAGGUUCGUUUGUUCAACGAUUAAAGCCCU
rnacentral:rRNA from 1 species